rnacentral:sRNA from 1 species
CCGCGGAAAGUGCAAUCCCAGUACGGCAGGAGCGGGGGACCCAAAGGUAAGUGCCGUGCGUUUCGCACCCGGAGGAACGCCGGAAGGAACACACGGCUUGGGGUGAAGCCGUAUCCGAAUGCCCCCGCAUUCGGUGCGGCCGGGCAACUCCAGCCCGAAUCCGACAGCUCACCUCGCAGGCGCAGGAGAGGAAAU